rnacentral:rRNA from 1 species
GCGUGAGCAACCUGCCCAUAUCAGGGGGAUAGCCCGGAGAAAUCCGGAUUAACACCGCAUGACACUGCUUUCCGGCAUCGGGAGGUAGUCAAAUAUUCAUAGGAUAUGGAUGGGCUCGCGUGACAUUAGCUAGUUGGUGGGGUAACGGCCCACCAAGGCGACGAUGUCUAGGGGCUCUGAGAGGAGAAUCCCCCACACUGGUACUGAGACACGGACCAGACUCCUACGGGAGGCAGCAGUAAGGAAUAUUGGUCAAUGGGGGCAACCCUGAACCAGCCAUGCCGCGUGCAGGACGACUGCCCUAUGGGUUGUAAACUGCUUUUGUUAGGGAAUAAACCCCGCUACGUGUAGCGGGCUGAAUGUACCUAAAGAAUAAGGAUCGGCUAACUCCGUGCCAGCAGCCGCGGUAAUACGGAGGAUCCGAGCGUUAUCCGGAUUUAUUGGGUUUAAAGGGUGCGUAGGCGGCACUUUAAGUCAGGGGUGAAAGACGGCAGCUCAACUGUCGCAGUGCCCUUGAUACUGAAGUGCUUGAAUGCGGUUGAAGACGGCGGAAUGAGACAAGUAGCGGUGAAAUGCAUAGAUAUGUCUCAGAACACCGAUUGCGAAGGCAGCUGUCUAAGCCGUUAUUGACGCUGAUGCACGAAAGCGUGGGGAUCGAACAGGAUUAGAUACCCUGGUAGUCCACGCCCUAAACGAUGAUGACUCGAUGUUUGCGAUAUACCGUAAGCGUCCAAGCGAAAGCGUUAAGUCAUCCACCUGGGGAGUACGCCCGCAAGGGUGAAACUCAAAGGAAUUGACGGGGGCCCGCACAAGCGGAGGAGCAUGUGGUUUAAUUCGAUGAUACGCGAGGAACCUUACCCGGGCUUGAAAGUUACUGAAGGGCGCAGAGACGCGCCCGUCCUUCGGGACAGGAAACUAGGUGCUGCAUGGCUGUCGUCAGCUCGUGCCGUGAGGUGUUGGGUUAAGUCCCGCAACGAGCGCAACCCCUAUGUUUAGUUGCCAGCACGUCAAGGUGGGGACUCUAAACAGACUGCCUGCGCAAGCAGAGAGGAAGGCGGGGACGACGUCAAGUCAUCAUGGCCCUUACGUCCGGGGCUACACACGUGCUACAAUGGAUGGUACAGCGGGCAGCUACACAGCAAUGUGGUGCCAAUCUCGAAAAGCCAUUCACAGUUCGGAUCGGGGUCUGCAACUCGACCCCGUGAAGUUGGAUUCGCUAGUAAUCGCGUAUC